UACGGAGGAUGCGAGCGUUAUCCGGAUUUAUUGGGUUUAAAGGGUGCGUAGGCGGACGCUUAAGUCAGCGGUAAAAUUGCGGGGCUCAACCUCGUCGAGCCGUUGAAACUGGGUGCCUUGAGUGGGCGAGAAGUACGCGGAAUGCGUGGUGUAGCGGUGAAAUGCAUAGAUAUCACGCAGAACUCCGAUUGCGAAGGCAGUGUACCGGCGCCCAACUGACGCUGAAGCACGAAGGCGUGGGUAUCGAACAGG
rnacentral:rRNA from 1 species